rnacentral:rRNA from 1 species
GUCUAUGGCUAUACUACUCUGAACGCGCCCAAUCUCGUCUGAUCUCGGAAGCUAAACAGGGUUGGGCCUGAUAAGUACUUGGAUGGGAGAAAUAUGAUGAGAAUUAUAGCUACAAUAGCUA